UUUUAUAAGGUUGGUGCAAAAGUAAUUGUGGUUUUUGCCAUUAAUUUUGAUGACAAAAGCUGCAAUUACUUUUGCACCAACCUAAUAA
rnacentral:miRNA from 1 species